rnacentral:rRNA from 1 species
UCCGUAGGCGGGCUAAUAAGUCAGGGGUGAAAUCCCACAGCUUAACUGUGGAACUGCCUUUGAUACUGUUAGUCUUGAGUUAUAUGGAAGUAGAUAGAAUGUGUAGUGUAGCGGUGAAAUGCAUAGAUAUUACACAGAAUACCGAUUGCGAAGGCAGUCUACUACGUAUAUACUGACGCUAGUGGACGAAAGCGUGGGGAGCGAACAGGAUUAGAUACCCUGGUAGUC